rnacentral:rRNA from 1 species
UACAGGGGGGGCAAGCGUUGUUCGGAAUUACUGGGCGUAAAGGGUUCGUAGGUGGCUCACUAAGUCACACGUGAAAUCCCUCAGCUUAACUGGGGAACUGCGUGUGAAACUGGAGAGCUUGAGGGUAGGAGAGGAAUGCAGAAUUCCAGGUGUAGCGGUGAAAUGCGUAGAUAUCUGGAGGAAUACCGGUGGCGAAGGCGGCAUUCUGGACUAUUUCUGACACUGAUGGACGAAAGCCAGGGGAGCAAACGGG